AACGAACGCUGGCGGCAUGCCUAACACAUGCAAGUCGAACGAGAUCUUCGGGUCUAGUGGCGCACGGGUGCGUAACGCGUGGGAAUCUGCCCUUUGGUUCGGAAUAACAGUUGGAAACGACUGCUAAUACCGGAUGAUGACGAAAGUCCAAAGAUUUAUCGCCGGAGGAUGAGCCCGCGUAGGAUUAGCUAGUUGGUGUGGUAAAGGCGCACCAAGGCGACGAUCCUUAGCUGGUCUGAGAGGAUGAUCAGCCACACUGGGACUGAGACACGGCCCAGACUCCUACGGGAGGCAGCAGUGGGGAAUAUUGGACAAUGGGCGAAAGCCUGAUCCAGCAAUGCCGCGUGAGUGAUGAAGGCCUUAGGGUUGUAAAGCUCUUUUACCCGGAAUGAUAAUGACAGUACCGGGAGAAUAAGCUCCGGCUAACUCCGUGCCAGCCGCCGCGGUAAGAC
rnacentral:rRNA from 1 species